rnacentral:rRNA from 1 species
GUCCACGCCCUAAACGAUGUAAACUAGUUGUUCGGUGAGGAGACUCAUUGAGUAACGCAGCUAACGCGUGAAGUUGACCGCCUGGGGAGUACGGCCGCAAGGUUAAACUCAAAGGAAUUGACGGGGACCCGCACAAGCGGUGGAUGAUGUGGAUUAAUUCGAUGCAACGCGAAAACCUUACCUACCCUUGACAUGUCAGGAAUCCUUGAGAGAUUGAGGAGUGCCCGAAAGGGAGCCUGAACACAGGUGCUGCAUGGCUGUAGU